UUCAAAUAAGCUAAUGUAGCUUCUAUCACUCACAUUGUUUCUUCAAAUAAGCUAAUGUAACUAUUAUCACUCACAUUGUUUCUUCAAAUAAGCUAACGUAGCUUCUCUCACUCACAUUGUUUCUUCAAAUAAGCUAACGUAGCUUCUAUCACUCACAUUCAUCUGUAAUAUCAAAAAAUGAACUAACUAAGCUGUUACAACUAGCAUUGAACCAAACAUUUUCCAAAAUAAGCUAACAUAGAUUUAUAUUUCUCAAAUGAAACCUUUCUUUUUUCAUUUAUUGUGAGCUGAGUGUAGUGGAGGGGCAAUUGGACCAUGUGGGGUUUAGAAACCAAUCAGAAGCAGGCAUGAGGUGAUAAGUGGGCUGAUAGACAACAGGUGAGGCUGCAGCUUCUCGGACUCUGAAAACUCUCUGUGGCUCUGGGCUGGUGUGGCCUCCAUUUCCCAGCAUGACUGGGUUGCUGGGAGUUCACUCGCUGUAGACGUGCUUUUCUUUAUUAGUGUGGUGACUUAUUUUGAAGGUUUUUUUUGCUUUAUGUUCUAUGACGUAUGUUUAGGUUCCCCUUUUGGCACGGGUAGUAGCCUAUACUCUUCUUCUCAGUGGAUGGUCAGCUUCUCAGCCAUAGCACUCCUGUCUGUGCUCUUAUCAUUUCCUGCCUCUGUUUUAUUACCUUUAACACAUAAUAAAUGACAUGAUCCACACUGAG